GGUUAAGCGACUAAGCGUACACGGUGGAUGCCCUGGCAGUCAGAGGCGAUGAAGGACGUGCUAAUCUGCGAUAAGCGUCGGUGAGGUGAUAUGAACCGUUAUAACCGGCGAUUUCCGAAUGGGGAAACCCAGUGUGUUUCGACACACUAUCAUUAACUGAAUCCAUAGGUUAAUGAGGCGAACCGGGGGAACUGAAACAUCUAAGUACCCCGAGGAAAAGAAAUCAACCGAGAUUCCCCCAGUAGCGGCGAGCGAACGGGGAGGAGCCCAGAGCCUGAAUCAGUGUGUGUGUUAGUGGAAGCGUCUGGAAAGGCGUGCGAUACAGGGUGACAGCCCCGUACACAAAAAUGCACAUAUUGUGAGCUCGAUGAGUAGGGCGGGACACGUGGUAUCCUGUCUGAAUAUGGGGGGACCAUCCUCCAAGGCUAAAUACUCCUGACUGACCGAUAGUGAACCAGUACCGUGAGGGAAAGGCGAAAAGAACCCCGGCGAGGGGAGUGAAAAAGAACCUGAAACCGUGUACGUACAAGCAGUGGGAGCCUCUUAAUGGGGUGACUGCGUACCUUUUGUAUAAUGGGUCAGCGACUUAUAUUCUGUAGCAAGGUUAACCGAAUAGGGGAGCCGAAGGGAAACCGAGUCUUAACUGGGCGUUAAGUUGCAGGGUAUAGACCCGAAACCCGGUGAUCUAGCCAUGGGCAGGUUGAAGGUUGGGUAACACUAACUGGAGGACCGAACCGACUAAUGUUGAAAAAUUAGCGGAUGACUUGUGGCUGGGGGUGAAAGGCCAAUCAAACCGGGAGAUAGCUGGUUCUCCCCGAAAGCUAUUUAGGUAGCGCCUCGUGAAUUCAUCUCCGGGGGUAGAGCACUGUUUCGGCAAGGGGGUCAUCCCGACUUACCAACCCGAUGCAAACUGCGAAUACCGGAGAAUGUUAUCACGGGAGACACACGGCGGGUGCUAACGUCCGUCGUGAAGAGGGAAACAACCCAGACCGCCAGCUAAGGUCCCAAAGUCAUGGUUAAGUGGGAAACGAUGUGGGAAGGCCCAGACAGCCAGGAUGUUGGCUUAGAAGCAGCCAUCAUUUAAAGAAAGCGUAAUAGCUCACUGGUCGAGUCGGCCUGCGCGGAAGAUGUAACGGGGCUAAACCAUGCACCGAAGCUGCGGCAGCGACACUAUGUGUUGUUGGGUAGGGGAGCGUUCUGUAAGCCUGUGAAGGUGGCCUGUGAGGGUUGCUGGAGGUAUCAGAAGUGCGAAUGCUGACAUAAGUAACGAUAAAGCGGGUGAAAAGCCCGCUCGCCGGAAGACCAAGGGUUCCUGUCCAACGUUAAUCGGGGCAGGGUGAGUCGACCCCUAAGGCGAGGCCGAAAGGCGUAGUCGAUGGGAAACAGGUUAAUAUUCCUGUACUUGGUGUUACUGCGAAGGGGGGACGGAGAAGGCUAUGUUGGCCGGGCGACGGUUGUCCCGGUUUAAGCGUGUAGGCUGGUUUUCCAGGCAAAUCCGGAAAACCAAGGCUGAGGCGUGAUGACGAGGCACUACGGUGCUGAAGCGACAAAUGCCCUGCUUCCAGGAAAAGCCUCUAAGCAUCAGGUAACAUCAAAUCGUACCCCAAACCGACACAGGUGGUCAGGUAGAGAAUACCAAGGCGCUUGAGAGAACUCGGGUGAAGGAACUAGGCAAAAUGGUGCCGUAACUUCGGGAGAAGGCACGCUGAUAUGUAGGUGAAGCGACUUGCUCGUGGAGCUGAAAUCAGUCGAAGAUACCAGCUGGCUGCAACUGUUUAUUAAAAACACAGCACUGUGCAAACACGAAAGUGGACGUAUACGGUGUGACGCCUGCCCGGUGCCGGAAGGUUAAUUGAUGGGGUUAGCGGCAACGCGAAGCUCUUGAUCGAAGCCCCGGUAAACGGCGGCCGUAACUAUAACGGUCCUAAGGUAGCGAAAUUCCUUGUCGGGUAAGUUCCGACCUGCACGAAUGGCGUAAUGAUGGCCAGGCUGUCUCCACCCGAGACUCAGUGAAAUUGAACUCGCUGUGAAGAUGCAGUGUACCCGCGGCAAGACGGAAAGACCCCGUGAACCUUUACUAUAGCUUGACACUGAACAUUGAGCCUUGAUGUGUAGGAUAGGUGGGAGGCUUUGAAGUGUGGACGCCAGUCUGCAUGGAGCCGACCUUGAAAUACCACCCUUUAAUGUUUGAUGUUCUAACGUUGGCCCGUAAUCCGGGUUGCGGACAGUGUCUGGUGGGUAGUUUGACUGGGGCGGUCUCCUCCUAAAGAGUAACGGAGGAGCACGAAGGUUGGCUAAUCCUGGUCGGACAUCAGGAGGUUAGUGCAAUGGCAUAAGCCAGCUUGACUGCGAGCGUGACGGCGCGAGCAGGUGCGAAAGCAGGUCAUAGUGAUCCGGUGGUUCUGAAUGGAAGGGCCAUCGCUCAACGGAUAAAAGGUACUCCGGGGAUAACAGGCUGAUACCGCCCAAGAGUUCAUAUCGACGGCGGUGUUUGGCACCUCGAUGUCGGCUCAUCACAUCCUGGGGCUGAAGUAGGUCCCAAGGGUAUGGCUGUUCGCCAUUUAAAGUGGUACGCGAGCUGGGUUUAGAACGUCGUGAGACAGUUCGGUCCCUAUCUGCCGUGGGCGCUGGAGAACUGAGGGGGGCUGCUCCUAGUACGAGAGGACCGGAGUGGACGCAUCACUGGUGUUCGGGUUGUCAUGCCAAUGGCACUGCCCGGUAGCUAAAUGCGGAAGAGAUAAGUGCUGAAAGCAUCUAAGCACGAAACUUGCCCCGAGAUGAGUUCUCCCU
rnacentral:rRNA from 1 species